CAAAAGGCGAAAGUGAACCUUCGCCUAGUCUUAUAUAAGGCGAAACUCUCAAAUUGCGGGGAACUCUUAAGAACAAAUCUACCAAGUUAAUAUAGUAAUAUAAUUAAUGGAACAGGUAAUGACUCGUUGUAUGGUAAAAACGAUUUGUAUAUGUAGAAUAUCCGCAGCCAAGCACCAAGUAUUCGCUACCCCCUCCAGCUUCGCUGGAGGGGGGGAAGGAAUAACGGUGUGCAGUUCAUCGACUAAAUGUGAGUUGGGUUUUUAUUAAUAUGAAAGGAUAUUAAUAAUUAGCUUAAGAUAUAGUCAGGCUCAAUACAUGAGUAUUGG
rnacentral:ncRNA from 1 species